GCGGACGUAGCUCAGUUGGUAGAGCGCAACCUUCCCAAGGUUGAUGUCGCGAGUUCGAAUCUCGUCGUCCGCUCCA
rnacentral:tRNA from 3 species